UCUCGGCCUUUUGGCUAAGAUCAAGUGUAGUAUCUGUUCUUAUCAGUUUAAUAUCUGAUAUGUGGGCCAUUGGUCCACACGAUAUUAAAUUUAUUUCUUGAGGGGAAGAGUCCACCACAAUAGCUUGCUAUUGGGUCUCUUGUGUGUCGCUUUUGCGUUGCACUAUAGCAAUUGCUGGCGCACCCCACCAAUCCAAGUAUUAAUCUUUUCUUAUUCUUCCCUGAUUUUCAAUUAUUUUACAAUAGUAGGAUUCUAUUCAUUAUUUGUGGCAAGCGACUUAUUAUUUUCAUUCAAGUUCACCCUAUUUCAACUGUCUGUUCGAUGUGGGGACUAAUACCACUGUGGUAACUUACAAAUUUGCUUCUCAAUUUUUACAAAAUACUUCCAAGUUCUUAUCAAAGAAUCAUACUACAACGUAAGCAAAAUUUUUAAUAUCUUCAUAUAUAUAGCAAUCAAAUUUUAUAUUAACUGAAUCAUUUCGUUCAUCAACAACAACUUUUUACUUUUUCUUUUCAAACCACUAAUCAUAUACCUUUAAUUUUUUCUUAUGUCAAAUACUGUGUUUCACCUUUUCUUUUCACAUAAACUCUUUACUCUUACUUUUCAUUUCCAUUUUUUAUGUUCAAAUUCUACUUGUACAUUUUUUUUUGUUGUGUUGUUUUUGUUCAUGUCCCUAAUACAACAAUGCCAAUUGAUUAGCAUGAGAAUAAUAUGUUAUAUUUUUUUCUUCUGAGAUUUGUGGUGCUCGUGUUGUCACACUCAAUCGAAAUGAUAAUAACUUAUUUGUUGUUUCAUCCAUAUUAUUUGCACACAAAAAUUAUCUUCAGUGGCGUGCUCUCUGCUCUGUUUCAAUUGAGAAUAAUGAAAAUAUAUAUCUUCAAAUUUCGGUUACACACUUUAUUAUUUCUUUUGAUUUGGUGAAUUCUCUUGAUUUUGAUUAUGUAAUUGAAAUUAGUAGAUUGUGAGAGAAACUUAAGAAAUUCAAUAUUUCAUAUUUACUAUUAAGAUAUUUUUAUGAUAAUUAAGUGAUGAACAUAUGAUUGUAUAUACAUAUAUUUAUAUUUAUAUUUGAAUUUUCCGACAAGAAUGGAAGGAUCUAUAUUGAGUCCUGCAUUGGAAGCAUUGGAGCAUGUAAAGGUAUGAAGAAGGAAAAAUUCUCACAAAAUCUUUAUUCAUGGCUUCUUAAUUAUUCCCUAUAAAAAUACGUCUCUGAAUUGCAGAGAUCAGAGAUUCAACAUGAUUAUGACUCUUCAUAAUACAAAUUUUUACACAUCAUGAUUUAGAAAGAGAUUGAAACUAAAACAUAAAGGAUUCAAUUUAGCUGCACAAAUUCUAUACCGUGACUAUCAAGGUAUGAAAUAUCCGAGAUUUAAUUUAAUUAAUUAUUGCUAAUAAUUAUACUAUUAUCUUCUUACUAUUUCAUUUGCAACUGCAACUUGUUAGUAGCAUGAAUUACACAGUACGAUCAUAUUACAUAGUUUUUGUUAGGGGUGGACAUAAUGCAACCACCCGACGGUAUCCGACCGUUCUGAUCCAAAAUUUGAGACACCAUUCGGGUUUAGUCGGUUGGUGGGUUAGGUCGGAAAGUUGCAAGAGGUGUAUACGGGUUUGUGCGGUCGGAUUCGGAGAUUGGUUUUGGGCCCGUCGGAAAACCGAAUCCGACCGAACUCUGAUUUUGAUUACAUUCAACGUGUGGGGCCCUCUCUCCCUCCGUUUCAAUUUCAUUCUUCUCUUUCUCAUCUUCAUCUUCCUUCUCUCUGACAACUCUCCUCCUCCUCCGCUUCUCCUCCGAAUCUAAGGGUAUCUUUAUGCAAAGUUUAACAGGGGAAUUUUCACAAACAUGUAGAGCACAGGUUGGUAGGCGAAACAAAUUAUGGCACGAUAAUGCUCGUCUGAUAAAUUCCUAAAUCAACCGGCCGGCCCAACCAAAACCAAGACUCUCUCUCAGUCUCAAAUCUCAAUUCAUUAGUUCCACUUCUUCGUGAGAUUCAUACGCACAAACAGCAACGUUACUCCGCUAGGGUUCAUCAUUCUCUCAGUAACCUUGAGGUGGAAGUUGAAUCAUUCUCUUUCGGAGUAACAGCUUCAGGUUGGUUUCUAACUGAGUUUUGAUAUUUAUGCCUAUAAAUGAAUUUCAUUUACUGAGAAAGCUUGUUGGUUAAAUAUUCCAUGUGUAUUUC